rnacentral:lncRNA from 1 species
AUGAAUAUUGAUGAGUCCCCCGAACACGCCGCUCACCCGCUCGUCGCGGCUGCCCCGACACCCCGCCCUCCUCGCGCGCGUCCCUCUGUUGCCAUAAGCGACGGCGCAGGCGGCCUGGCCUCGCCCCGCCCCGGCGGCGCUACGGGGCCACACGAGGAACUAAAGGGCCCUGAGGCGGGGGCUUCCGGAAGUGACGACACGAGGAGCCGCCUUUGCACCGGAAAUGGCCCUGAUCUUCCUCUUCAGCUGCUGCUUCUUCCCCCUCUUCUUCCUCGCCCUGCGCUGGGCGCUGCGCCGCACCUGGGGCCCGGGCACGGACCAGCUGCAAGCCGUCUACGUGGCUGCCAAGUACGGACUCCUGGGCUCUCUCGGCGGCACUGGGAGGAGAGGGGGGCUGGGAGCCAGGACUCCUGGGUUCUCUCCCCGGCUCGUGCUGGAGAGGGGGCUCUCCCUCAGCCACAAGAUGGUGCUGCUGGCUCAGAAGUCUCCGCUAUACCCCAGAGGUGACUCCAGGGUCACUGGCUCAGCCGGCUUAGCACACGGGGAGAGGGGGGACACUCUGCCAUCUGGGGGGGAUUAGCCCUGAGCUGAUUGCCCUGGUGCCCCAGGGAGAGGAAGGGGUUUAAAUACUCACCCCCUCAAGCUGGGCCUUGACCUUGAUCCCCACCUGCCUCUGCCUGUGCCAGCGGGAUUAUAGGAUUAGACCAAAGUGGGGUGUGUGUGUGUUCAUUCCCCUUCCCUGGCCCCCGACACCCCUGCCCCAGCCUGGCUAUGACCGGGGGCCUGAUCCCCCCAGCACCCCCUUUUAAAAUCCUGGUUUCCGUUCAGUCCAGAGCAAGGCAGUUGAAACCAGUCUGGGCACAGCUGCACCAAGCUGAUGCAGGAUAUUAGUUAGGGAAAGGACCAGUUCCCUAGCCGAUGUAAAUUAGUGUCACUCCAGGGGCAUUUACCCCAGGAUUCUCGAAAAUUUAGUAUGUGAGCCCCUGCUAUCCCUGCCCUGGGCUCCCCUACCCCACAUCUCAGCCAGUGCCCCCCAAUCCUGACCCACAGCCCCCUGCUGUCCAAGCCCUGGACUCCCUCACCCACAGCUCUGCUGAUGCCCCUCACAUCCACCCCCUGCUGGCUGCACUCCCACUCCCUUUCCAGUCUCUCAUUUUCCAUUGGCAUCCAUCCUUUGCACCCCCUUUCCCAUUCCCAAUGCCCCUCUGACGGAUCGCUGUGACCCCCCUUCCUGCCGCCCUCCAUCCUCUGGCACAGGACACUCCGCUGCUGUCCCUUUAAGUCCCUCCACCCAGCGCCUGACAGCUGCUCCCCCCUCUCCUCCCAUCCCCUCCUCUCCCUCCCCUCUCCCCCCCUUUCUCUCUGUCACAGCCGACCUCAGAG